CAGCACCUCAAGUGGUCAGGAUGAUUAUUGGGCCUAAAGCAUCCGUAGCCGGCGCUGUAAGUUUUCGGUUAAAUCUGUACGCUCAACGUACAGGCUGCCGGGAAUACUGCAGCGCUAGGGAGUGGGAGAGGUAGACGGUACUCGGUAGGGAGGGGUAAAAUCCUUUGAUCUAUUGAUGACCACCUGUGGCGAAGGCGGUCUACCAGAACACGUCCGACGGUGAGGGAUGAAAGCUGGGGGAGCAAACCGGAUUAGAUACCCGAGUAGUCC
rnacentral:rRNA from 1 species